GACGAACGCUGGCGGCGUGCCUAACACAUGCAAGUCGAACGCAGUGGGGACGGGUGAGUAACACGUGGGUAACCUCCCAUCAGAGGGGAUAACACUUGGAAACAGGUGCUAAACCGAUACUGAUGGAUGGACCCGCGGUGCACUACCCAGUUGGUGAGGGAACGGCUCACCAAGGCCACGAUGCGUAGCCGGCCUGAGAGGAUGAUCAGCCACACUGGGACUGAGACACGGUCCAGACUCCUACGGGAGGCAGCAGUGGGGAAUCUUCGGCAAUGGGCGAAAGUCUGACCGAGCAACGCCGCGUGAGUGAAGAAGGUUUGCGGAUCGUAAAACUCUGUUAGUAGGGAAGCGGUAUCUAACCAGAAAGCCACGGCUAACUACGUGCCAGCAGCCGCGGUAAUAC
rnacentral:rRNA from 1 species